CUGAAAUACAAAUACUGAACUACGGAUAUUUUAC
rnacentral:sRNA from 1 species